UUUAGACAGAACUUAAAUGCCUGUUCCUGCCAGUUAACAAUACCAAAAAAGCUACGAUUUUAGCACAGACCUUCAAUCAUUCAAAUACAAAGUUUUGGAAAUUGAAAAAAAGAAGAAGCAAAAGCUGCACAUGUGCUAUUGAAUUCUUAAAUUUCAUUAGCCUGAUUAGGAAGGGGAAUUAUUGAAGACAAAAUCCUUUGGAAUAAUUUGCAUUCCGCACAAGUACACAUUUAUCUUUCUAAUUUCAGUUAUGUUUGUAUUUUAAUCGAAUUGAAAAAUAUAUGAAAUUUAAAACUUAAUUUUUUUUUUCUAAUUUGUACUUUUAGCGACAUAAUUGAACUGUUUUUUUUUCUAUAUUUCAAUUUAAAAAAAAAAAAUAGAACUAUAGAGGUUUGAUCUGCUACAUUCGUGCAAAGACAAAUACUCGAUUAUUGGAAUGCUACACUAAAAGCUACACGUAAUAGAGAUUUGAUUUAGCAAUAUUCAUUGUAUAUCUAUCAUUCAAAAAAGGAAAAGAAAAGAGAGAACAAACUAUGGAUGCCCCUUAUGGAAAAACUGCCGCUGGAGUUGGAUCAACAUUAACACUUAGCCAAGGAGACAAGAACCUGCAUGGCGGAAAUAGAAGAAAAGGUGGUACCUUGAAGCAUGUGCCAAGUGAUCCAUUGAGAAAGCAGAGGAUCCUGAAAGUCAAAAGGCAUUAAUGGGAUUUUCUUGCUUGGUAUAAAAUCAGAACUUGUCAUUUCAGAGUUGCUUAGUUUUCUUCAAUUUUUAUUUAUGUAUCACAGUUUGACGAAAUGAAAUAUAUAUAUACUUCACUUCAUGCUAGAGUUUCAUGAAAUAGUUAUGUACUUAACCAUUGUGCUGCAGUUUCAGGGUUAAGAACAAUUAGCUUAACACUUCUUCACAUCUUCCCACAGGAGGCAUGCUUAAUAUGAUUUUGAGUUACCAAAUCUCUUAGAAUUUUAUAGAACUCUUUAUGAGGUAUUGAAUUGGGUGGCAAACUUUUUAAUAAUUUUUUGUAUUCGCUAGUUUUAUUGUUAUUAUUAUGUGUUUAAAAUUUUAAUUUAUAAUUGACUAUGAAAAUUGUAUACUAAUAACAGUUUUAAUUGACUAUUUUUUUUUUUUAAUGCAUCAAACUACAAAAAAAGGAGAAGAAGAAGAAGAAGAA